AUGACCAAAACGACCCCAUUUUACCUCACUUAAUCUCAGCUCUUCGUCCAAUCCAAUCCAAUGGCUCUGAACUCCCUUCCCAAUUCCCAUAUAACUGUCCUAAGAGCCCCUCCCCCCAUCCCAAACCUAGAGACCACCUCUCACUCUUCACCAUCUCCCUCUAGCCGCCCAAACCCUCCACUAGCCUAGCCGACGGCGCCGCCGCCAAACUCAUCCAAACCCACUCAAAUAUUUACCCUAUAAUCCUCAAUAAUUUCUCACGCCUAAUCCAUCUUUGUUUUGUUCAAACAAGCAACGAAUUCUUUCCAGUUUCGGAUCUAGAAUACCCCUUUUCUUAUUUUUUGGCAAAAAUGGAAAUGGUGACAUAAAGUAUUAACCAUUAGGAUUUUUUUGGACAAUACUUGUAUCAUUAUUUCCAUGGUUGGCCAAGAACUAGUUUGGGGUUCAUCCUUGGGUCAAUAAAGAAGAUCUAAGCGAAGUCAUGCAUGCAAGGGGUAAAGAUCGGGGUUUAAAUCUUUCUUUAUGUAAUUCUUUUUAUUUUUAGGCAUCACUGCCGACUAAAUAAAAAAAAGAGAUUAAAAUGUAAUUUCUUUCAUUAGAAGUGUUCUGUCCAAUUCGUUUUUGUUUCUUUCUUUAUUUAUUAUUUUUUGUGUUUUGUUUGUUUUUUUUAUUUUAUCGGCAGUAUGUUUGUUUGUUUUUCUUUUUCUUUUUUGUUUUGUUUGGGUCAUGGUUUAAUCACUACUUUUCUUCUACCUUUCUUCAACCAUACCAUAGUCCAAGAUUGUUGGGUUUGGUGUAAAUUUGGUGGGCUUGUGGCCCAAUCUAUUUUAAGAGUAAGGGAAUUUAAUUUUAGGGAGGUAAAUACUAGUGUUGGUAAGGGUAUUUAGGGCAUUUAUGACCAAAAAAUAAUCUGAUAACCACCUAGGAAAGUUCUAGGAAGGUGAGGGUGGGGGUCUGAAUGAGUAAAUAGUGCUAAAUUUAGGUGAAUUUGGGCAAAAAACAGAUUUGUUAAAGAUAGGUUUUGAAUUUAGAAGUUCUGAUUUGUUGCCCUAAGGAGAAGGCUAAAUAUACAGUAUAGGUUGAAGGAAAAAGAGGAAGGGAGGCGGGUACGGCAGAAAACAAAAAAAAUUGGCAAAGAAAAACAAUUUUUCAUCUCAAGCUUUUCUUAGCGCUUUGGUUUUCUUAGCAUUUUCUGGUUUCUUUUACUGAUCCUGGUCUUGAAGAAGUGUUGAGAAGGACUUUUGUUGUUGCUAUAGUGACUGCUGAGCUCCAUUUACAAUUUUCAGACUUUUAUUUUUGAUUCACUUUCUAAUAGGUAUGUAAACUUCAUUUUGAUAGGAAUUUAGAACGAAUUCUGCUCAUGUUAAGUCCUUGUUUCCAGAUCUGUUUUUGCAUUCUUCUAUCUCUAUGAAUCCAUUUAAUUCUCAUCCCAUAAUUAAUGUCAUGAUUUUUGCUUCAAUUAAGUAUAAAAAUCAUUUAGGUUAGUAAAGUAAUAUGUUAAAUGUUAGCUUGUGGGGUCCGAAAAUGUUCAACUAAACUCAUGCAUGUCUCACUGAUUGGAUCCUUUUGUAAUAAAAAUUAUUUACGAAGUGAAGUGUACUGCAAAUAGAAUCUUUAUUAUGAAACUCUUUGUGAAUGGAGAUUAAAUUUGUUAGAUGGAAUUAUGUGUAUAAUGUAAAUGAAAUGUGGUUUGUUAUAUUGUGUCUUGCUUGAUGGUGACUUUUCAUUCCAUAAGCAUGUCCCUUCUGAUAGAAUGUGUACCUUGGUUAAAAAAGAAAAUGUCAAAUCGGUAGGGGAGGGAUGGAACGUCCCCACUGUUGAAUUUUGAUAUUUGUUCUUGGUAAGGAUAGUAUCUAACAUGCAUGUCAUUUUCAAUUACGACUGUCUUAGUUAGAGAAUGUCGAAAUUCUUAUUGUGUGUGAUUUCUUGCACUCGACUUGGUAAAUUCCUUGGAAUCUGAAGGAAGUUAGCGACG
rnacentral:lncRNA from 1 species